ACCCUGUUGAGCUUGACUCUAGCCUCGACCUGUGAAGAGACAUGAAGGGUGUAGUAUAUGGGAGGUCGUUAUGCGCCGUCAGUGAAAUACCACUACUUUCCACGGUUUUACUGAUUCGAGUGAAGCGAGGUAGGAUGGUUCCCGAUUUCUGGACCUGAAUCUCGGCUCUCAAUCGGCGGAGAGACCGCUCCGAAGACAGCCGUCCAGGUUGGAGGUUUGACUCGGGGGCUGCGUACAUCUGUCAAGGUAACGCAGGUGUCCUAAGUGCGAGCUGCGAGGCAGAAACCCGCGAGUAAAAGUGGGCAAAAGCUGGUUGAUCUUGAUUUUCGUGACGAAUAACGACCGCGAAAGCGAGGCCUAUUCGAUCACUUGCGAUUUACGAAGCUUAUAGAGGUGUCAGAAAAGAUACACAGGGAUAACUGUUGUGGCGGCCGUAAGCUCCGCCAAGCGACGCCUUUGAUCCGAUGUCGCUUUCCUAUCAUUUGGCAGAAAUUCGCCAGCGUUGAUUGUUCACCACCACUAAUAGGUAACGGAGUGGGCUGGUAACCGUCGUGAGCAGGUUAGUUUUACCCUACUGAUGACCGGGUCGCGCGAUAGUAAUCCUGCUGUGAAGGAACCGCAGGUUCGGACAUUUGCGUACAUGUGCUUGGUCGGCCAGUGGUGCGAAGUUACUCAUCCGUGGAUAUGACUGAACGCCUCAAGUCAGAAUCCGGUUUAAAGUGCAACGAUACAGCGUUUACC